ensembl:lncRNA
AUGCAAAGUGUCUCAACAUGUGUUAUGAAGGGAGGACACCAGUCACCUCAUAGGACUCCCCAGAGUUACACACUCAGCACGGCCACUCAGCACGGUCAAACCUGCUACGAAACCAACACACACACACUCAGUACGGCCACUCCCCAGAGUUACACACUCAGCACGGCCACUCCCCAGAGUUACACACUCAGCACGGCCACUCCCCAGAGUUACACACUCAGCACGGCCACUCAGCACGGCCACUCCCCAGAGUUACACACUCAGUACGGCCACUCAGCACGGCCACUCCCCAGAGUUACACACUCAGCACGGCCACUCAGUACGGCCACUCAGCACGGCCACUCAGUACGGCCACUCCCCAGAGUUACACACUCAGCACGGCCACUCCCUAGAGUUACACACUCAGCACGGCCACUCAGCACGGCCACUCCCCAGAGUUACACACUCAGCACGGCCACUCCCCAGAGUUACACACUCAGUACGGUCACUCAGCACGGCCACUCAGCACGGCCACUCAGCACGGCCACUCCCCAGAGUUACACACUCAGUACGGCCACUCAGCACGGCCACUCAGCACUCCCCAGAGUUACACACUCAGCACGGCCACUCAGCACGGCCACUCAGUACGGCCACUCAGUACGGCCACUCAGCACGGCCACUCAGCACGGCCACUCAGCACGGCCACUCAGCACGGCCACUCAGCACGGCCACUCCCCAGAGUUACACACUCAGUACGGCCACUCAGCACGGCCACUCAGCACGGCCACUCAGCACAGCCACUCAGCACGGCCACUCCCCAGAGUUACACACUCAGUACGGCCACUCAGCACGGCCACUCAGCACGGUCAAACCUGCUACGAAACCAACACACACACACUCAGUACGGCCACUCCCCAGAGUUACACACUCAGCACGGCCACUCCCCAGAGUUACACACUCAGCACGGCCACUCCCCAGAGUUACACACUCAGCACGGCCACUCAGCACGGCCACUCCCCAGAGUUACACACUCAGUACGGCCACUCAGCACGGCCACUCCCCAGAGUUACACACUCAGCACGGCCACUCAGUACGGCCACUCAGCACGGCCACUCAGUACGGCCACUCCCCAGAGUUACACACUCAGCACGGCCACUCCCUAGAGUUACACACUCAGCACGGCCACUCAGCACGGCCACUCCCCAGAGUUACACACUCAGCACGGCCACUCCCCAGAGUUACACACUCAGUACGGUCACUCAGCACGGCCACUCAGCACGGCCACUCAGCACGGCCACUCCCCAGAGUUACACACUCAGUACGGCCACUCAGCACGGCCACUCAGCACUCCCCAGAGUUACACACUCAGCACGGCCACUCAGCACGGCCACUCAGUACGGCCACUCAGUACGGCCACUCAGCACGGCCACUCAGCACGGCCACUCAGCACGGCCACUCAGCACGGCCACUCAGCACGGCCACUCCCCAGAGUUACACACUCAGUACGGCCACUCAGCACGGCCACUCAGCACGGCCACUCAGCACAGCCACUCAGCACGGCCACUCCCCAGAGUUACACACUCAGUACGGCCACUCAGCACGGCCACUCAGCACUCCCCAGAGUUACACACUCAGCACGGCCACUCAGCACGGCCACUCAGUACGGCCACUCAGUACGGCCACUCAGUACGGCCACUCAGCACGGCCACUCAGCACGGCCACUCAGCACGGCCACUCCCCAGAGUUACACACUCAGCACGGCCACUCAGCACGGCCACUCAGCACGGCCACUCAGUACGGCCACUCAGCACGGCCACUCAGCACGGCCACUCAGUACGGGCACUCAGCACGGCCACUCAGCACGGCCACUCAGCACGGCCACUCAGCACGGCCACUUAG